rnacentral:rRNA from 1 species
AGAGUUUGAUCCUGGCUCAGAUUGAACGCUGGCGGCAUGCCUUACACAUGCAAGUCGAACGGCAGCACGGGAGCAAUCCUGGUGGCGAGUGGCGAACGGGUGAGUAAUAUAUCGGAACGUGCCCAGUCGUGGGGGAUAACGUAGAGAAAUUUACGCUAAUACCGCAUACGAUCUCUGGAUGAAAGCGGGGGACUCGCAAGAGCCUCGCGCGAUUGGAGCGGCCGAUAUCAGAUUAGCUAGUUGGUGGGGUAAAAGCCCACCAAGGCGACGAUCUGUAGCUGGUCUGAGAGGACGACCAGCCACACUGGAACUGAGACACGGUCCAGACUCCUACGGGAGGCAGCAGUGGGGAAUUUUGGACAAUGGGCGCAAGCCUGAUCCAGCAAUGCCGCGUGCAGGAUGAAGGCCUUCGGGUUGUAAACUGCUUUUGUACGGAACGAAACGGUCCCUUCUAAUACAAGGGGCUAAUGACGGUACCGUAAGAAUAAGCACCGGCUAACUACGUGCCAGCAGCCGCGGUAAUACGUAGGGUGCGAGCGUUAAUCGGAAUUACUGGGCGUAAAGCGUGCGCAGGCGGUUAUAUAAGACAGAUGUGAAAUCCCCGGGCUCAACCUGGGACCUGCAUUUGUGACUGUAUAGCUAGAGUACGGUAGAGGGGGAUGGAAUUCCGCGUGUAGCAGUGAAAUGCGUAGAUAUGCGGAGGAACACCGAUGGCGAAGGCAAUCCCCUGGACCUGUACUGACGCUCAUGCACGAAAGCGUGGGGAGCAAACAGGAUUAGAUACCCUGGUAGUC